UACAGAGGUCUCAAGCGUUGUUCGGAUUCAUUGGGCGUAAAGGGUGCGUAGGUGGUGACGCAAGUCUGGUGUGAAAUCUCGGAGCUCAACUCCGAAAUUGCACCGGAUACUGCGUGACUCGAGGACUGGUGAAGAGGAGAUCGGAAUUCACGGAUGUAGCAGUGAAAUGCGUAGAUAUCGUGAGGAAGACCAGUUGCGAAGGCGGAUCUCUGGGCAGUUCCUGACACUGAGGCACGAAGGCCAGGGGAGCAAACGGG
rnacentral:rRNA from 1 species